CGAGCGCCCCGGCCACCGCGGGACCCCGGGCGGCGUGCGCACGCUGGCCCUGGCCCCCCUCCGGCUGGUAACCGGAGAACUGAAAGUGCCAUUUGCAAAGGGAGCGGGGGCUGGUGGUCCGCCAAACCGCUCUCCCCGCCCGGGUCCCCAGGGAGUCACCAGAACCGACGGGGCACCGGACCUCCGUCACUGAUCUGGAGCCCAGGUCACCCGCGUCACUGGCCAUCCCGGGGUCUGGGCUCCCAUCCGGUGUGCGAGCUGUUCCCCAGCCGCUGGGCCUGCCUUUCCAUCGGGGUUCCCCUUACAGGUCGGAUUCAGCAGGUAAAAGGUCUGCCGGGGGCCUUCGCUCCUAUAUCUAUCCAUGACAAUGAACCCCGUUCGCGCUGGCGGGGCGUUGGUGCAGUAAGCCCCCACCCUGCGCCUCGCGCAGCGCUCCAGGGAAUCCGCGCAUCCCCCGGCGAGGUCGCACGCAGCGUCAGGGCCAGCUUCGGAACCACCUUGGUUUGAUACGGGACUGCGGUGCUUCUUGCCCUGCGGUGUCCCGUGUCCCUCAGAAUGUUCUUUAGGCUCCACAGCUCUAGACUUCAAACUCUGCCACGGUGGAGCACAAGAGGAGAAAGAGUACGAGUGCAGAAUCACCCCUGGCGUCCCAGCAGUCCUGCAGACGUCCCUUUCUUUCCGGCAUGGAAAGCAGAGUACAAAGGCAAGGUCCUCAUCAGCUGUGGAACCCAAAGACAUGAUUUCAAGCUGGGAGCGUCAGGUACUGGUUCCUCUGGAACCCAGAGGAAAAGCCAGCAUUCUUUGAAAUGGCAGAAGCCACCAAAGUCAUCCUGCCCGUAUGAGAACAACAGACUGAAAUUGCACUAA
rnacentral:lncRNA from 1 species